AAAUUGAAGAGUUUGAUCAUGGCUCAGAUUGAACGCUGGCGGCAGGCCUAACACAUGCAAGUCGAACGGUAACAGGAAGCAGCUUGCUGCUUCGCUGACGAGUGGCGGACGGGUGAGUAAUGUCUGGGAAACUGCCUGAUGGAGGGGGAUAACUACUGGAAACGGUGGCUAAUACCGCAUAACGUCGCAAGACCAAAGAGGGGGACCUUCGGGCCUCUUGCCAUCAGAUGUGCCCAGAUGGGAUUAGCUUGUUGGUGAGGUAACGGCUCACCAAGGCGACGAUCCCUAGCUGGUCUGAGAGGAUGACCAGCCACACUGGAACUGAGACACGGUCCAGACUCCUACGGGAGGCAGCAGUGGGGAAUAUUGCACAAUGGGCGCAAGCCUGAUGCAGCCAUGCCGCGUGUAUGAAGAAGGCCUUCGGGUUGUAAAGUACUUUCAGCGGGGAGGAAGGUGUUGCGGUUAAUAACCGCAGCAAUUGACGUUACCCGCAGAAGAAGCACCGGCUAACUCCGUGCCAGCAGCCGCGGUAAUACGGAGGGUGCAAGCGUUAAUCGGAAUUACUGGGCGUAAA
rnacentral:rRNA from 2 species